GAAAUGAAAGCCCGGAAACCCCGGAACUAGAACUGGUCAGAUCUCUUCAACUACCUGUGAAAACUGAUGUGAUGAAAAGGGGAAUUUGAAGGAGCCAUUCCAGAAGACAGGGCGAAAACUGAAGUGCAAUCAGGGCCAAGAAAAACAGAAAUAGCAGGACCUGGAGUUGCAUAGGUUGAAUAGUUGAAUAGGCUGCUCUCCUCAGCUGGCAGGAAACCUGGCAGCCUCCUGGUGCCCAAGGACUGAAAACCUUAGAAGCACCUGGAGUUGGCAGCCUUGGCAUGGUCAGGUUGGCACCUCUGGAGGUGCCCAGGCUUCCCUGGCAGCAUUGUGAGCAGUGGAUGGUGUUGAAGGGCAGCCAGAGGAGGAAUGGAACACAUGCUCCUUGCUAACCACACGGACAAGGCCACGUUCACAGGUACACAAAGGUAGGUAUACAAAGGUAGGUACACAAUCAAUCAAAAGUUUAAAAAACAGCCAU
rnacentral:lncRNA from 1 species